AAAAAUUAAUAAAAAACCAAAAUAGCUGUAUGACUCCUCCCCCUUUUUACUUGGGGGAGAGAGAGUUUGAGAUGGAGAGAGGAGAGAUGGGCAGGAAGGAUGGAUUGUCACCACGCUUUCUCACUGGGGAGAGAACAGAAGUUUACUUCUUACUGGGUGGAGACACUUGGCAUUUGUAAAUGAGAAUACCAAUUUCAAGGAAGAUAAGAGAAAGAACAAAGCCUCCUAGCAUAAACAGGUAUCCUU
rnacentral:lncRNA from 1 species